GACGAACGCUGGCGGCGUGCUUAACACAUGCAAGUCGAACGGAAAGGCCCUGCUUUUGUGGGGUGCGCGAGUGGCGAACGGGUGAGUAACACGUGAGUAACCUGCCCUUGACUUUGGGAUAACUUCAGGAAACUGGGGCUAAUACCCGAUAGGAGCUCCUGCUGCAUGGAGGGGGUUGGAAAGUUUCGGCGGUUGGGGAUGGACUCGCGGCUUAUCAGCUUGUUGGUGGGGUAGUGGCUUACCAAGGCUUUGACGGGUAGGCGGCCUGAGAGGGUGACCGGCCACCUUGGGACUGAGCUACGGCCCAGACUCCUACGGGAGGCAGCAGUGGGGAAUAUUGCACAAUGGGCGGAAGCCUGAUGCAGCAACGCCGCGUGCGGGAUGACGGCCUUCGGGUUGUAAACCGCUUUCGCCUGUGACGAAGCGUUAGUGACGGUACUGGGUAAAGAAGCACCGGCUAACUACGUG
rnacentral:rRNA from 1 species